CUCUGUCCAUGGAAUUCUCCAGGCAAGAAUACUGGAGUAGUGGGUGCUUCCCUGGCAGUCCAGUGGUUAAGACUUUACCUUCCAAUGUAGGAGGUACAGGUUCACUCCCUGGUCAGGGAGCUAAGAUCCUACUUGCCUUGCAGCCGAAAAACCAAAGCAUCAAACAGAAACAAUAUUG